UCCCACAUGCAGUACACCUGGGAAUGGGGAGGGAUCUUUAAAUUUAACUUGCAUAGCAUGAACAGAUUUAUGACAACAAUGGUUAAAAUACCAUUUAGCUGUUGCCACCAGGGCAAUGCAGAAUACUAUGACACUUAAGAUGGUUAGCCACGUAGUUGAAGUGACACCUGGUGACACACGAAUAGUGCAGAUCACAUUAUACCAUUUAUAUGGCUCGGGCACAUUGACAGCCAAACUGAUGAUUCACCCACCCUCUCAGGCAAGGAGAACUAACUGAGUGCUUUGCCA